rnacentral:rRNA from 1 species
AUUGAACGCUGGCGGCAGGCUUAACACAUGCAAGUCGAACGAGUGGCGGACGGGUGAGUAAUUCUGGGGAAUGUAGCUUAUGGAGGGGGAUAACUACUGUAAACGGUGGCUAAUCCCGCAUACUAUCGGAUGCACCCAGAUGGGUUUAGCUAGUCGGUGGGGUAAAGGCUCACCAAGGCGCCGAUCCCUAGCUGGUCUGAGAGGAUGAUCAGCCACACUGGGACGGAGACACGGCCCAGACUCCUACGGGAGGCAGCAGUGGGGAAUAUUGCACAAGGGGCGCAAGCCUGAUGCAGCCAUGCCGCGUGUGUGAAGAAGGCCUUCGGGUUGUAAAGUACUUUCAGCGGGGAGGCGUUACCCGAAGAAGAAGCACCGGCUAACUCCGUGCCAGCCGCCGCGGUAAUAC